rnacentral:rRNA from 1 species
CGGACGGGUGAGUAACACGUGGAUAACCUACCUAUAAGACUGGGAUAACUUCGGGAAACCGGAGCUAAUACCGGAUAACAUGUUGAACCGCAUGGUUCAACAGUGAAAGACGGUCUUGCUGUCACUUAUAGAUGGAUCCGCGCCGCACUAGCUAGUUGGUAAGGUAACGGCUUACCAAGGCAACGAUGCGUAGCCGACCUGAGAGGGUGAUCGGCCACACUGGAACUGAGACACGGUCCAG